GGGGCCAUAGCUCAGCUGGGAGAGCGCAUCGCUGGCAGCGAUGAGGUCAGGGGUUCGAUCCCCCUUGGCUCCA
rfam:Paenibacillus sp. FSL H7-0737, complete genome.